rnacentral:lncRNA from 1 species
AGACCAAGCCGAAAAAAAGCUAAAACAGAAUAAUAGGGGUCACUAAUGCCUCGUUUCUACUGAGCGGAUCGACUUGGGUCGAUUCGGUAUGGUACGCUAGUUUGAGUGUUUCCAUUAUGAAAGUGGCCCAUACAACCUAACCAAACCGCACCAUUCAUGGUCCCCCUUCAGAUGUAGGGCCAUAGGAAAUGGUACGGUUCGGGUGGAGCUACUGGCGUCACACGAUACAUUCCACUGAUUGGCGGACAGAAAAAACGACACUGCUCACGUCAAAUGCAAGCGUGAAACAAACACCACGUCGCCGUUCAGUCCAGAUAAUAGGAGAAGGAUGGCUGCAAACAACAGCAAGGUAUGGUCGGCUCAGGAACUAUCCACUUUCCUAACUAUAAUUAGCGAUAGCGUUAUUCAGAGUGAGCUUGAAAAUCACAGUGAGAAGACGCCAGCGUCCAUAGGAAAGCAUUAUGAAUGCUUUCCUAUGAGACAGGCUGAAUGCGCGCGCGCGCAGCUCCUGCCGCGCAUGUGCAUUCAGCUGAGGAGGAGGAGAGCGCCCUGCCCGGCGCUGGAAAAAAGGUAAGAUUUAACCCUUUCCUCGCCAUCCAGCCCGGCGGGAGUGUGACCCUGAGGGUGGGGGUACCCUCAGGGCACUAUAGUGCCAGGAAAACAAGUGUGUUUUCCUGGCACUAUAGUGGUCCUUUAAGGAUGCCAACAGUCGAAGUACUUGGAAGUGGUACAAUGCCAUGGAUACCAUUUACGGUCAUAGGCCGGCAAACCAAGGUAGGGAGGGAGGUCUGGACUCUGCAUCUGCACUUCUCGAAUCCAUGAUUGAACUCGUUGCUAAGUGGGUUUUUUAUUUCCCUACUUGGCAUUGGCUUUUGCUCUGCUAACCAUUUAUAAAUUCACUGCACAAAACCAUUAACUAUUUGCAUAAAAAAAACAUUUUAUUUGUACAGUGGACUGAACUAGUGCAUUUUCAGAUACAGUUGAUGGACUCUCCAAUGAUACCUCAACCUUUUCUUAUGUUUCUGACGAUGGUCCAUCAACGUUGUUCAGCAGCACCAGUACGAUGACAACAACACCGACCCAACCACAGAGUAUGCCCAAUGCACCCCGGCACACUGGUAAGACAUGAUGUUCAGAGUGAAAGUUGUAAUUGUGCAUUUCCCUAACUUUUAAUUCACAGCAAACUGUGAACUCACUCAAAAUGCUUCUGUGUAGUUUGUUUGCAUAAUUAAAUCCAUAUUUAUAAUUGUAUAUUGUCUGUAUAUACUGGUAUUUAAAUUACAUUGGGUUUUGAGCUUAUCUUGUAUGUAUAUUGUGUUUAUUUUAAUUUGUGCUUAUACUGUUCUUAUCUGUUACAUCUGUUCUUUGUUUACAUUAUGUUAGAUAAUAUAUCAGCCAUUUUUUGUACCAGUUGCUAAAAAAAAAACACUAUUCUGGUCUUUUGGAUAUUCCAGGUGAAAGGAGACGGUUGCAGCUGGAUUUGCGCACAGUCAUGGAGGAUAUGCGGGCAGCAGAGGAAAGGAUGAAGAACCUUUCUGAGAGGCGGUUUUAGGCACUGCGUCAGGAUGCCCAGGAAGCUAUGCGCCAGGAGGCAGAAAUCGUCCGGAGCAGAUGGAGCAGUUGGCUACCUUCAACUAAGCCUUCCUUGGGCAGCUAGUUUAAGUGCUGAGAGGCAGUCGUGAUCCCAGGUCACCGCCCAGGCAGUAGAGCCUUUCAGCCAGCACAGGACCUGUAC